UUUUCUGUCUUGCAGUUAUGUCGGAUUACAUACUCCACAACAACCUGUAAUGCAGCAGCUCUUUAAAGAAGCCAUCUCUUGUAAAAUAUCUCUCUUGCCCUCUCUCUCUCUGCUAGAAUUAACAGGGAACUUCAACUCCAUGCUCCCAAUGCUGAUUUUGAAGAAGCUAUCAAGGGGGCUGAACAAGUCCUUCAAAGGUUCAACCCUUCACAGGAAGGCCUGUCAUGAGAUUUGAAUUUGACCAUCUUGUGAAUUUAUGAAGAAGACCAAAAGCUGCAAAGGCAAACACUUCCAAUGGAUUUCUCACAGAUUACUUAAUCAUUCUUCAUCAGCUCUUCACAAUAUCAGCCCAUUCAAAAGCUUCCAGAUCUCCCUCUCUUGUGUGACACAUCUGCUCUCAGUCCUUUACUGCUAACCUUAGCAUUCUUAGCAUUUCUGCUUGUAUUAAUUUCUCCUCUACAGUCAUCACUCCCAUCUCUACUAUAAGCACUCCUGUCACUCUCUCUCUAUAUAUAUACAUAAUAAUAAUUAUUAUUAACCAUUUAUUUGUUUUGCAUUUCUUCACAGUAGAAGCAAACAAUGAUUACAGGAUUUAUAAUUAUAAAGGUGAUAAUUGUAAAAUAUUGAAGCAUAGUUCUUAAUCAUUUUUGCCUAUUUGUUUGAUAAAGGGAAGAAAAUAAUAUAUUUUCAACUGUUGCCUUGAUUAUUCUUUGGCAUCUUUUGUCAGGAUUUCUGUAAACACAUUCUCUUUUUAUUUUUGAUUAUUAAACUUAUGUUUUUUGAAGG